rnacentral:rRNA from 1 species
AGAGUUUGAUCCUGGCUCAGAUUGAACGCUGGCGGCAUGCCUUACACAUGCAAGUCGAACGGUAACGCGGGGGCAACCCUGGCGACGAGUGGCGAACGGGUGAGUAAAGUAUCGGAACGUGCCCUGGAGUGGGGGAUAACUAGUCGAAAGAUUAGCUAAUACCGCAUACGAUCUACGGAUGAAAGUGGGGGAUCGCAAGACCUCAUGCUCGUGGAGCGGCCGAUAUCUGAUUAGCUAGUUGGUAGGGUAAAAGCCUACCAAGGCGACGAUCAGUAGCUGGUCUGAGAGGACGACCAGCCACACUGGGACUGAGACACGGCCCAGACUCCUACGGGAGGCAGCAGUGAGGAAUUUUGGACAAUGGGGGCAACCCUGAUCCAGCAAUGCCGCGUGAGUGAAGAAGGCCUUCGGGUUGUAAAGCUCUUUUGUCAGGAAAGAAAUCGCACCGGUUAAUACCUGGUGUGGAUGACGGUACCUGAAGAAUAAGCACCGGCUAACUACGUGCCAGCAGCCGCGGUAAUACGUAGGGUGCAAGCGUUAAUCGGAAUUACUGGGCGUAAAGCGUGCGCAGGCGGUUGUGCAAGACAGAUGUGAAAUCCCCGGGCUCAACCUGGGAACUGCAUUUGUGACUGCACGGCUAGAGUGUGUCAGAGGGGGGUAGAAUUCCACGUAGCAGUGAAAUGCGUAGAUAUGUGGAGGAAUACCGAUGGCGAAGGCAGCCCCCUGGGAUAACACUGACGCUCAUGCACGAAAGCGUGGGGAGCAAACAGGAUUAGAUACCCUAGUAGUCC